UACAGAGGUCCCAAGCGUUGUUCGGAUUCAUUGGGCGUAAAGGGUGCGUAGGCGGCGCGGUAAGUCGGGUGUGAAAUCUCGGAGCUUAACUCCGAAACUGCAUUCGAUACUGCCGUGCUUGAGGGACUGGAGAGGAGACUGGAAUUUACGGUGUAGCGGUGAAAUGCGUAGAUAUCGUAAGGAAGACCAGUGGCGAAGGCGGGUCUCUGGACAGUUCCUGACGCUGAGGCACGAAGGCCAGGGGAGCAAACGGG
rnacentral:rRNA from 1 species